GGGGACGCUACGGAUUCGACAGGGGUAGUUCGAGCUUAGGUUGCGAGUCGAGGGGAUCGACCUCGUUAAAACGUCAAAGCCUAUAACUGGCAAUCAAAAACAACUUUUAGCUGCCUAAUUAAGUCAGCUGUUCGCCCUUCCAUUGCCUGCGUGGUAAGGUAGCGGACUCAAAUUUAGCAGGAUACGCCGGAUUCUACCGUCUGAGGAUGAAGGAAGAGAAUAAUCAGACUAGCCGAGCCCGGGCGCCCGUCGAUAGGCAUAAGGAGCGGCGAAAGUGCGAAUAUAUCGACUACACUCGUAGAAGCUUAAGUGCCGAUAUUCUUGGACGUGGGUUCGACUCCCACCGUCUCCACCA
rnacentral:tmRNA from 1 species